rnacentral:rRNA from 1 species
GUGCCAGCAGCCGCGCGGUAAUACGGAGGGUGCAAGCGUUGUCCGGAAUCACUAGGCGUAAAGGGUGCGCAGGCGGGGCAGCAAGUCGGAGGUGAAAGCCCGUGGCUCAACCACGGAAGUGCCUUCGAAACUGUUGCUCUUGAGUCCCGGAGAGGUUGCCGGAAUUCGUGGUGUAGCGGUGAAAUGCGUAGAUAUCACGAGGAACACCAGAGGCGAAAGCGGACAGCUGGACGGGUACUGACGCUCAGGCACGAAAGCGUGGGGAGCAAACAGGAUUAGAAACCCGGGUGUCC